rnacentral:rRNA from 1 species
GAUGAACGCUGGCGGCGUGCUUAACACAUGCAAGUCGAGCGAAGCAUUUUGGAUGAAGUUUUCGAAUGGAUUCUGGAAUGACUGAGCGGCGGACGGGUGAGUAACGCGUGGAUAACCUGCCUCAUACAGGGGGAUAACAGUUAGAAAUGACUGCUAAUACCGCAUAAGCGCACAGGACCGCAUGGUCUGGUGUGAAAAACUCCGGUGGUAUGAGAUGGGUCCGCGUUGGAUUAGGCAGUUGGCGGGGUAACGGCCCACCAAACCGACGAUCCAUAGCCGGCCUGAGAGGGUGGACGGCCACAUUGGGACUGAGACACGGCCCAAACUCCUACGGGAGGCAGCAGUGGGGAAUAUUGCACAAUGGGGGAAACCCUGAUGCAGCGACGCCGCGUGAGUGAAGAAUAUUUUCGGUAUGUAAAGCUCUAUCAGCAGGGAAGAAAACGACGGUACCUGACUAAGAAGCCCCGGCUAACUACGUGCCAGCAGCCGCGGUAAUACGUAGGGGGCAAGCGUUAUCCGGAUUUACUGGGUGUAAAGGGAGCGUAGACGGCUGUGCAAGUCUGAUGUGAAAGGCAGGGGCUCAACUCCUGGACUGCAUUGGAAACUGUGUAGCUUGAGUGCCGGAGAGGUAAGCGGAAUUCCUAGUGUAGCGGUGAAAUGCGUAGAUAUUAGGAGGAACACCAGUGGCGAAGGCGGCUUACUGGACGGUAACUGACGUUGAGGCUCGAAAGCGUGGGGAGCAAACAGGAUUAGAUACCCUGGUAGUCCACGCCGUAAAUGUAUAAUAGGGGGUGUCGGGGGACGACGGUCCUUCGGUGCCGCAGCAAAACGCAGUAAGUAUUCCCCCUGGGGAGUACGUUCGCAAGAAUGAAACUCACAGGAAUUGACGGGGACCCGCACAAGCGGUGGAGCAUGUGGUUUAAUUCGAAGCAACGCGAAGAACCUUACCAAGUCUUGACAUCCUGCUGACCGGUGAGUAAUGUCAUCUUUCCUUCGGGACAGCAGAGACAGGUGGUGCAUGGUUGUCGUCAGCUCGUGUCGUGAGAUGUUGGGUUAAGUCCCGCAACGAGCGCAACCCUUAUUGUCAGUAGCCAGCAUUUCGGAUGGGCACUCUGAUGAGACUGCCAGGGAUAACCUGGAGGAAGGUGGGGAGGACGUCAAAUCAUCAUGCCCCCUAUGACUUGGGCUACACACGUGCUACAAUGGCGUAAACAAAGGGAAGCGAGAGUGUGAGCUUAAGCAAAUCCCAAAAAUAACGUCCCAGUUCGGACUGCAGUCUGCAACUCGACUGCACGAAGCUGGAAUCGCUAGUAAUCGCGGAUCAGAAUGCCGCGGCGAAUAAAAGCCCGGGUCUUGCACACUCCGCCCGUCA